AUUGAACGCUGGCGGCACGCUUAACACAUGCAAGUCGAGCGGUAACAUGGGUAGUAGCAAUACUAUCUGAUGACGAGCGGCGGACGGGUGAGUAACACGUAGGAACUUGCCCAGUAGUGGGGGACAACCAAGGGAAACUUAGGCUAAUACCGCAUAUACUCGAGAGAGGAAAGCUGCCAGCAAUGGUGGCGCUAUUGGAGAGGCCUGCGUCCGAUUAGCUAGUUGGUGAGGUAAUAGCUUACCAAGGCGAGGAUCGGUAACUGGUCUGAGAGGACGACCAGUCACACUGGGACUGAGACACGGCCCAGACUCCUACGGGAGGCAGCAGUGGGGAAUCUUGGACAAUGGGGGCAACCCUGAUCCAGCGAUGCCGCGUGAGUGAAGAAGGCCUUCGGGUCGUAAAGCUCUUUAGGCUGGGAAGAAGGUUAGUAGUUUAAGAGAUAACUAGCUUGACUGUACCAGCAGAAUAAGCACCGGCAAACUCUGUGCCAGCAGCCGCCGUAA
rnacentral:rRNA from 1 species